AUCGAUUCACAUGACAAUAGGGCAAAGAAGGCCGGUUCACCUGAUAAGAAGGUGAAGGCAAAUGUUUCAUGUACAAAGAAUGCAAUUAUUCCCGAUCCAGAGGUGUUGCGAGCUCUCACUAUUCCAUGCUUUUGGUUGCAUAAGUGCGCUAACGAUUUACCCGACGAUAGUGCAAUAUAGGUUGUUUUGGGGGCGCAACAAUUCCACUAUCUUGAGGAGUCAUCGACAUUCAUUUCUAAGGUCAAUAUCAAAGAAUUCUUAUGUGGGGAAGAGUUAUGUGUUUCCAUGAUACAAACUUUCAUGAGGUUAUAAUACAAUGAAUUGAUUAGAAAAUCAAGUGGCCCAAUAAUGUUUGGUUGGUCGUAUCCAAACAUAUUACGAGAUAAGAAUUGUUUGAAAAACAAUUAAAGUCGAAGCGAAAGAUUACAUUGAAAUGAGUUUCAAAGCAUCAUCUCGUUUAGGAGUUCAUCAGAUCAUCCUAGUCCCGUAUUUUGAAAGCGCACAUUGGACACUGAUUGCGAUAUGUUUGUCAACUAACCAAGUCUACCACUUCGAUUCUUUGCGUCGACAACCACCACAGUCUUUACUACUCAAAUCUUUGUUAAACAGGUAGCCUAACUAAAACUAAAUAUAUACGUACUUAUUAAUAUUACAUGAUCCUACAAUGUUGUAUUGAUGUAGUGUGAUGAAGAAAACUAUUGGAGGAAGACUUACAAUAGCAAAAGCUCCUGUUUGGAUAUCAGUCGAGUGUCUGCAACAAGAUGAUGGACUUUCAUGUGGCUAUUACGUGACGAGGUUCAUAUUCGAUAUCGUCAACUAUUGAACUAACAUCGAUGAUCUUCAAACGGUUUAUAUGAAUAGAAGUUUGAAGCGCUUCACCAAGGAGAAAUCAAAUGAAGUUCGGGAUAAGUUGGCGCUUACCUUUGUGACGAUUGCUUAUGAACAUUUUUGGAGGAUUUUUAUUUUCCUAAUAAUAUGUACACUUUCAUCAAUUCUAUGUACUUUAUACAUUAUUUCAAUAUAUUUAAAGUUAUUUACAAUUUGUUUUU